CCCCCUCCACAAGUUCCUGGCAGUGCAAGGCUCCAGCCUUAGCAACACCACUGCAGCUCACAGCUGCCAGCACUAAUGAGUUACAGCAGGCUGUGGUGAGAUCCUGGAGUUAUUUGUAGCUGUGGAACAGGUUUCCCUGUGCAGAGAAGUGCAGGGAAGUUUCUAGGUCUGGCUGGAAGCACCCAGUAAAAGCUGCACGAAUGAAGCCUGUUUUGGUAAUGCUGGUUUUGUACAAUAUGCCUGGAUAGCAACAUUAAUCUUGCACUCAACAGUAAUUUAAUUUUUUUUCAGGGUUUAUUCUAACAGACUCUGAAUAAACUCCUGCAAAACAAUUACUCUAAAA